rnacentral:rRNA from 1 species
AUUGAACGCUGGCGGCAUGCCUUACACAUGCAAGUCGAACGGCAGCGGGCCUUCGGGUGCCGGCGAGUGGCGAACGGGUGAGUAAUGCAUCGGAACGUGCCAUUGAGUGGGGGAUAACGUAGCGAAAGUUACGCUAAUACCGCAUAUUCUGUGAGCAGGAAAGCAGGGGACCGCAAGGCCUUGCGCUCUUUGAGCGGCCGAUGUCAGAUUAGCUAGUUGGUGAGGUAAAAGGCUUACCAAGGCGACGAUCUGUAGCGGGUCUGAGAGGAUGAUCCGCCACACUGGAACUGAGACACGGUCCAGACUCCUACGGGAGGCAGCAGUGGGGAAUUUUGGACAAUGGGCGCAAGCCUGAUCCAGCCAUGCCGCGUGAGUGAAGAAGGCCUCGG